AGUGAACGCUGGCGGUAGGCCUAACACAUGCAAGUCGAACGGCAGCACAGGAGAGCUUGCUCUCUGGGUGGCGAGUGGCGGACGGGUGAGGAAUACAUCGGAAUCUACUCUGUCGUGGGGGAUAACGUAGGGAAACUUACGCUAAUACCGCAUACGACCUACGGGUGAAAGCAGGGGACCUUCGGUCCUUGCGCGAUUGAAUGCGCCGAAGUCGGAUUAGCUAGUUGGCGGGGUAAAGGCCCACCAAGGCGACGAUCCGUAGCUGGUCUGAGAGGAUGAUCAGCCACACUGGAACUGAGACACGGUCCAGACUCCUACGGGAGGCAGCAGUGGGGAAUAUUGGACAAUGGGCGCAAGCCUGAUCCAGCCAUACCGCGUGGGUGAAGAAGGCCUUCGGGUUGUAAAGCCCUUUUGUUGGGAAAGAAAUCCAGCUGGCUAAUACCCGGUUGGGAUGACGGUACCCAAAGAAUAAGCACCGGCUAACUUCGUGCCAGCAGCCGCCGUAA
rnacentral:rRNA from 1 species